rnacentral:rRNA from 1 species
UACGUAGGGUGCGAGCGUUAAUCGGAAUUACUGGGCGUAAAGCGUGCGCAGGCGGCGCCGCAAGUCAGGCGUGAAAUCCCCGAGCUUAACUUGGGAAUGGCGCUUGAAACUACGGUGCUGGAGUGUGGCAGAGGGAGGUGGAAUUCCACGUGUAGCGGUGAAAUGCGUAGAGAUGUGGAGGAACACCGAUGGCGAAGGCAGCCUCCUGGGCCAACACUGACGCUCAUGCACGAAAGCGUGGGGAGCAAACGGG